rnacentral:rRNA from 1 species
UAACUGAAGAGUUUGAUCAUGGCUCAGAUUGAACGCUGGCGGCAGGCUUAACACAUGCAAGUCGAGCGGAGAGAGGUAGCUUGCUACUGAUCUUAGCGGCGGACGGGUGAGUAAUGCUUAGGAAUCUGCCUAUUAGUGGGGGACAACAUUUCGAAAGGAAUGCUAAUACCGCAUACGUCCUACGGGAGAAAGCAGGGGAUCUUCGGACCUUGCGCUAAUAGAUGAGCCUAAGUCGGAUUAGCUAGUUGGUGGGGUAAAGGCCUACCAAGGCGACGAUCUGUAGCGGGUCUGAGAGGAUGAUCCGCCACACUGGGACUGAGACACGGCCCAGACUCCUACGGGAGGCAGCAGUGGGGAAUAUUGGACAAUGGGCGCAAGCCUGAUCCAGCCAUGCCGCGUGUGUGAAGAAGGCCUUAUGGUUGUAAAGCACUUUAAGCGAGGAGGAGGCUACUUUAGUUAAUACCUAGAGAUAGUGGACGUUACUCGCAGAAUAAGCACCGGCUAACUCUGUGCCAGCAGCCGCGGUAAUACAGAGGGUGCAAGCGUUAAUCGGAUUUACUGGGCGUAAAGCGCGCGUAGGCGGCUAAUUAAGUCAAAUGUGAAAUCCCCGAGCUUAACUUGGGAAUUGCAUUCGAUACUGGUUAGCUAGAGUGUGGGAGAGGAUGGUAGAAUUCCAGGUGUAGCGGUGAAAUGCGUAGAGAUCUGGAGGAAUACCGAUGGCGAAGGCAGCCAUCUGGCCUAACACUGACGCUGAGGUGCGAAAGCAUGGGGAGCAAACAGGAUUAGAUACCCUGGUAGUCCAUGCCGUAAACGAUGUCUACUAGCCGUUGGGGCCUUUGAGGCUUUAGUGGCGCAGCUAACGCGAUAAGUAGACCGCCUGGGGAGUACGGUCGCAAGACUAAAACUCAAAUGAAUUGACGGGGGCCCGCACAAGCGGUGGAGCAUGUGGUUUAAUUCGAUGCAACGCGAAGAACCUUACCUGGCCUUGACAUAGUAAGAACUUUCCAGAGAUGGAUUGGUGCCUUCGGGAACUUACAUACAGGUGCUGCAUGGCUGUCGUCAGCUCGUGUCGUGAGAUGUUGGGUUAAGUCCCGCAACGAGCGCAACCCUUUUCCUUAUUUGCCAGCGAGUAAUGUCGGGAACUUUAAGGAUACUGCCAGUGACAAACUGGAGGAAGGCGGGGACGACGUCAAGUCAUCAUGGCCCUUACGGCCAGGGCUACACACGUGCUACAAUGGUCGGUACAAAGGGUUGCUACCUAGCGAUAGGAUGCUAAUCUCAAAAGCCGAUCGUAGUCCGGAUUGGAGUCUGCAACUCGACUCCAUGAAGUCGGAAUCGCUAGUAAUCGCGGAUCAGAAUGCCGCGGUGAAUACGUUCCCGGGCCUUGUACACACCGCCCGUCACACCAUGGGAGUUUGUUGCACCAGAAGUAGCUAGCCUAACUGCAAAGAGGGCGGUUACCACGGUGUGGCCGAUGACUGGGGUGAAGUCGUAACAAGGUAGCCGUAGGGGAACCUGCGGCUGGAUCACCUCCUUA